AUAAUGGUUCUAAAACAUGACUCUGAGUGAAUAACUAUUACCAGCAGUAUGAUUGUCAAAUGCAACAUCCUCACCAAUAAUCUCCACAAGAACAACAUCCCUCUUUGAAGUGAUGAAACCUACUGGAAUCACGUACAAUUAUCUCUCGUUUUUUCAUCUUGGAUAUGUACUUGAUAGCCAUGUGACAAUCACUACAAAUUCGUAAAUUCUUCAUUAUCCUAAUUGGAAAACCCUCCGGGGUGUUCA
rnacentral:misc_RNA from 1 species